AGAGUCGUGGGUUGCCAUCAGAGCGCACAUACAUCAGACAGACCUGGCGCACACAAAAGUCACUUUUGCCAGGUGAUUUGUGGACUGGCUCUGUGAUUUACCAACUCUCCACUAGAUGCUACACCAAGACCAGCAAACCUUUAAUGAAAUCCAAUCAAGUUUAAGUGUUUGGAAAUCUGGAAUGGAGCCACCACUGAAAGCAAACACUGGUUGUUACCUACAUGGUGUCUCUGCCUUUAGACUAUAGUCAAGAUUGCACAAGCCUGAACAGCUACUACUAUAAAGGAGUUUGGAGCAUGGAAGCUGCUAUUUCAAAAGGAGGAGAUGCAGUCCUACAAUCAAAAUUACUUUAGUAAGAGUCUAUAGGAGAAAACUGGAUCUUCAAUGAAGUGGAUGAAUUCUAAGCAUUGCUCCAGAAAAAGCUAAAGAUUAGAAACUUUGAAAUGCAAACCACAAGAGUCUAGAGAAGCCAAAAAAAAAAAGGAAAAUACAGCUGAGCAAUCAGAAGAGGAUGA
rnacentral:lncRNA from 1 species